GAAANUGAUGGUUUAACUCCUUCCUUUAUUA
rnacentral:tRNA from 1 species